AUUGAACGCUGGCGGCAGGCCUAACACAUGCAAGUCGGGCGGUAACAGGAAUCAGCUUGCUGAUUCGCUGACGAGCGGCGGACGGGUGAGUAAUGUCUGGGAAACUGCCUGAUGGAGGGGGAUAACUACUGGAAACGGUAGCUAAUACCGCAUAACGUCUACGGACCAAAGUGGGGGACCUUCGGGCCUCAUGCCAUCAGAUGUGCCCAGAUGGGAUUAGCUUGUUGGUGGGGUAACGGCUCACCAAGGCGACGAUCCCUAGCUGGUCUGAGGGGAUGACACGCCACACUGGAACUGAGACACGGUCCAGACUCCUACGGGGGGCAGCAGUGGGGAAUAUUGCACAAUGGGCGCAAGCCUGAUGCAGCCAUGCGGCGUGUAUGAAGAAGGCCUUCGGGUUGUAAAGUACUUUCAGCGGGGAGGAAGGUGCUGUGGUUAAUAACCACAGCAAUUGACGUUACCCGCAGAAGAAGCACCGGCUAACUCCGUGCCAGCAGCCGCGGUAAAAC
rnacentral:rRNA from 1 species